rnacentral:snRNA from 1 species
UCUCUUGUGCUCGGGCAUGUACUGUCGCCAGUGAGGUUAAUACCGAGGCACAGUCUUUUGCUGAUUGCAAAUUACACAUCCGAACCCGUCUGUUAGCUUCGGCUUCCAGCAAUUUUUGGAAUCAUUUACG